CAGCUCCCUUUCAGUAGAAACUGGCCAUGCUACGUAUUCAAUUUAGUCUUCCUCUCUUAGGUAACUGAGUGCCUUUAAAUGAGGUGAGUUUCACAUUUGUCAUAAUUUUGUGAUUCCUUAGAAGUCACUAAGAUCAAACUGCUGGCAGCUGUCCUGUAGCAGCAAACCAACAUAUGGUGGAAAGCAAAGCAGGUUCUCCUCUUUUGGAGUUUCAGCCAGUGAGAAGGAAAUCCAGUUCCUCUUCUGUCUGUUCAGCUCGCUAGAGCAGCUUCUCUUCAAAUCCACAGCAGAAUAGUUCACAGUAUUUGGAAAGGAAGAGAAAUGAGCAACAGAAGAUACUAAAAUGAAGUAGAGAUGAUAAACAAGAAGCUUCUGAAACAUGUUAGACAUAGAUGAGGGGAAGUCAUCUUAUAGCAUGUCUAGAAGUUAUACUGAGCAAGGAAUGUUUGAGGAGGUUUAUUACAAGUCUCCAAUGCAAAGGAAAGUGGACGUUGACUUCUGUUAAUAAAGCAGCUACUGUAAAGGAAAUGGAAGUCACUAGACAUGGAAACGGGCUUCUUUUGUGGCUCAUUGGUAAAGAAUUUGCCUGCCAAUACAGGAGAUAUGCGUUUGAUCCCUGGGUUGGGAAGAUACCCUGGAGAAGGAAACAGCAACCCACUCAAGUUUUCUUGCUUGGGAAAUCCUACGGACAGAAGAGCCUGGUAGGCUACCAGCCUAGGGGUCACAAAGAGCUGGACACGACUUAGUGACUGAGCACACGUGCAGAUAUUGGAAUAUUUGUUUUGGAUUAUUUUUUCCAUCACUUAUUUUUGAAAAAUCUCUAUUCAAUCUAUUCACUUCUAAUCAACCAAAUUAUUCUGUUAGCUAUAUAUCUGGGGCUAUAGCUAAAAUCCAUGCUAUUGAUCUCUGCUUUUCUGUGCCUAAGGCUAAGUAAACUUUCAUAAAAUGCAGCAACCAACUGGCAAAAAAUAGAACAAAACAAAUAUCUUGUGCUUCAGUAUCAAUGUCAACAACUGUCUAUUACAUCCUUGCAAACUAGCUCUAAAGGUUUUAAAACCCUUAAUAUUAUUGCAUUUGCUGAAGGAUUUGGGGACAAUAUGAUUUUAAAGAAUCUAUUUACUUGUUCUGGAUAUGUUCAUAUUUUUAUUUGAAAAAAUAUUUUUUCAAUAUGAUUUUUCUAUGAUAGUAAAAGGGAGCAAAACUUAUCUUUAAUUCCUCAAAUUGAGAGGAAUGUUUAAGGCAAUUUUACAAUGUUAAUAAAUAGGAAAACCCAUUAGCAUCUGAUUUACUGGGGUAGUCAGGAUUCAAACAUGGUUUAUUGCUGUGCACUUAGCACAUAAAGCAUGCAUUUUGUUUUCAAUUUCCUUAUACUCCCAGCUGAGUGGUAAAACUAUUCUAUGCAGUAUAUUAGUAGCAAUAAUAGGGUAAAAGCUGGAGGGGGUUCUGAAAUAUCUUAAGAAAUUUAUUUCUAUUUCUGCUGUAACAACCACUCAAGGCAUAAAGUUUGUAAUGUGACACUUAUAGACUUUAAGGAUCAUUUAAAUAAAAUCUAAAACAAUAAAACAUUAGCAUUGUUAUAAAGCAGGAAAUCACAUUAAAAAUCCA
rnacentral:lncRNA from 1 species